AUUUACAAAGAGUGACAAAUCAUACCCAUCAAACAAGAACAUUUUAGGGAUACAAAAAGAAUAAUGUUGUAUAGACCCAGUGGAGAUGCAUCUCCAGACUACAUGGCGCUAAAUGAUAAUGCCAUGAUAGCGCCAUGUAGACUAGGGUUCAUCCCAUUGAGGACAAAUAGCAUUACUCAUACAAAAAAUAUUCAUGGCUCUAUAAAUACGGGGAAAAUGGAAAGGCAUCACUUCAAUUCAACCUGCCACCUUGUCCACUCCAUAAUAUCUGGAGCUCUUUUCUCUCUCACCUCUAAUUUUUCUCUCUCUCUAACAGCUGACACUUUAUACAGCGUAGAUUGCAAGAGAAUUUUGCAAAAAGUUCGCAAUGGUGAUAAACAAAUCCUCGUAAAUUUAAUAAAUCUUCUCUGAUAGUUCGCUGGUUCAGCUUUAUUCUCCUUCUACCCUAAACAUGUAUAAAUUCACACACACACACAAACACACACACACACACACACACACAUAUAUAUAUAUAUAGGUUUUUCAGUGUCGUGCAUUCACGGGUUGUGUUAUGUUCUUUAACAAUUUCCUUUUUAAAUAAUUUUUUGUGGGAAUUUAACGCAAAAUAAAUCAUCGUUUGUUUAUGGGGUUUGAUAGAAAGACCCAGAAUUUGAAGAAUCGAAAUUAUUUACUUUUUUUGACCUUAUUAUAUAAUUUGAUCUUGGAAUUGAAAACCCAGAAUUUGAAAGCUUUAUCAUGGUUUGGGCUGAAUGAAGAAGACACGUAGUUUGCAGUACUCAUGUAUGUAAAGAGAAAUAUACCACUGUUUUUGUAUUUAUUAGCAUUCAUAUAGAAAUCUACUACUGUCUAUGUGGUGGUCAUCGUGGGACCCACAUGUGGAAUUUUACUAAUUAACAAUAUAUUCAAAUGACUUAUUUAUU
rnacentral:lncRNA from 1 species